AUUGAACGCUGGCGGCAGGCCUAACACAUGCAAGUCGAGCGGAUGAGAAGAGCUUGCUCUUCGAUUCAGCGGCGGACGGGUGAGUAAUGCCUAGGAAUCUGCCUGGUAGUGGGGGACAACGUUUCGAAAGGAACGCUAAUACCGCAUACGUCCUACGGGAGAAAGCAGGGGACCUUCGGGCCUUGCGCUAUCAGAUGAGCCUAGGUCGGAUUAGCUAGUUGGUGAGGUAAUGGCUCACCAAGGCGACGAUCCGUAACUGGUCUGGGAGGAUGAUCAGUCACACUGGAACUGAGACACGGUCCAGACUCCUAAGGGAGGCAGCAGUGGGGAAUAUUGGACAAUGGGCGAAAGCCUGAUCCAGCCAUGCCGCGUGUGUGAAGAAGGUCUUCGGAUUGUAAAGCACUUUAAGUUGGGAGGAAGGGCAGUAAGUUAAUACCUUGCUGUUUUGACGUUACCGACAGAAUAAGCACCGGCUAACUCUGUGCCAGCCGCCGCCGUAAGAC
rnacentral:rRNA from 1 species